UUGAUUUCACACAUUUCUGUAGACAAGUUUAAUAACUGCGGACUGACUGAGGAAGCUGCUCCAAUAGCCUUGACAGCAGCCUGGAAGACUUUUCUCGGCAGUCGGAGAACCCAUGCAACUGGAGGCCCUCGGCGGUCCAGCGGAGGAGCGCCUCCAUUGUCGGCAAGAGGGGCGUUGUUUUUACUGUCUACGUUUGGGACAUUUAAUCACCCAGUGCCCAGUCCGACCGAAGCGCACCGGCCUCAGGAUCUCCACUCCGGUGAGUGUCCGGUAUACCGCGGCAGAAUCAACUCCUUCACUCCUUCAACUCAGCACAUUCAUGUACUGUAUCAGCAUUUAUCGACUCGGGGUCGGAUGCUAAUUUGAUCACACACACCCCCCCCCCUCCCCGAGUGGUCGAGGCAUUGAGCGCCUAUAGAAGUGGAGGGGCUAGGUACCGCUCCGGAAUUAGCUGAAGUACCUGCUUGUUAUCAUGAUCUGAAGGUUUUUUUGGACAGUAAAGCAAAAUCCCUGCCGCCACACCGCUCAUAUGAUUGCGCCAUCGAACUUCUUCACGCCACCUCGCGCCCGUGAGGGAGGUUGUUUGCUUUACAGGACCAAAACACCAGGCCAUGAGAAGUUACGUCAAGAACUCACUGGCAGCUGGCCUCAUCCGCUCGUCGUCCUCGACAGCCAGUGCAGGGUUCUUCUUUGUGAAGGAGAAGGACACUUCGCUACGACCCUGCAUCGACUACCGGGGACUGAACGACAUCACCAUUAAGAACAGAUCUAACCUCCCACGUCCGGCAAGUAAGAGAGGUCCUUCAGCGUCUACUCCAGCAUCAGUUGUUCGUAAACAAAGACAAGUGUGAAUUCCACCGAGCCUCCGUGUCCUUCCUGGCGGAGGGGGAGA